rnacentral:rRNA from 1 species
UACGAAGGGGGCUAGCGUUGCUCGGAAUCACUGGGCGUAAAGCGCACGUAGGCGGCUUCUUAAGUCAGGGGUGAAAUCCUGGAGCUCAACUCCAGAACUGCCUUCGAUACUGCGGGUCUCGAGUCCGGGAGAGGUGAGUGGAAUUCCUAGUGUAGAGGUGAAAUUCGUAGAUAUUAGGAAGAACACCAGUGGCGAAGGCAGCUCUCUGGGACGGUACUGACGCUGAGGCACGAAAGCGUGGGGAGCGAACAGGG